rnacentral:sRNA from 1 species
CUCGUUGCGCAGUAGUGCUAGCGGCUUCGCGGUUCGGUCCUCGCACCCGGCAGCCGCCACUGGUGCUGAGCUGCUAGGAAGCCCCUAUCGGCGAGCUCGUUGGAGCUUGAACCCAUUGUCACCCCUCCGACUCACCGGCCCAAAAAAAAAAAAAAUGGUUGAAGCAGAUCGCCCAGGAAAGCUCUUCAUUGGUGGGCUUAAUACGGAAACAAAUGAGAAAGCUCUUGAAGCAGUAUUUGGCAAAUAUGGACGAAUAGUGGAAGUACUCUUGAUGAAAGACCGUGAAACCAACAAAUCAAGAGGAUUUGCUUUUGUCACCUUUGAAAGCCCAGCAGACGCUAAGGAUGCAGCCAGAGACAUGAAUGGAAAGAGGAGGAAGUGGAGGAACCAGGGGACCUCCCUCACGGGGAGGACACAUGGAUGACGGUGGAUAUUCCAUGAAUUUUAACAUGAGUUCUUCCAGGGGACCACUCCCA